rnacentral:rRNA from 1 species
GACAGAGGGUGCAAACGUUGCUCGGAAUUACUGGGCGUAAAGCGCGUGUAGGCGGACCGGAAAGUCGGGCGUGAAAUCCCUGGGCUCAACCCAGGAACUGCACUCGAAACUUCCCGGCCUAGAGUGGUGGAGAGGGAAGUGGAAUUCCUGGUGUAGAGGUGAAAUUCGUAGAUAUCAGGAGGAACACCAGUGGCGAAGGCGGCUUCCUGGACACCAAC